rnacentral:rRNA from 1 species
UACGAAGGUGGCAAGCGUUGUUCGGAUUUACUGGGCGUACAGGGAGCGUAGGCGGUUGGAUAAGCCCUCCGUGAAAUCUCCGGGCUUAACCUGGAAAGUGCAGAGGGGACUGUUCAGCUAGAGGAUGGGAGAGGAGCGCGGAAUUCCCGGUGUAGCGGUGAAAUGCGUAGAGAUCGGGAGGAAGGCCGGUGGCGAAGGCGGCGCUCUGGAACAUUUCUGACGCUGAGGCUCGAAAGCGUGGGGAGCAAACAGG